rnacentral:misc_RNA from 1 species
GGGUGUUGGGUGGUGUGGGGUGAGGGUGGGUGCGGGAUGAAAGUAUGACGAUGGUGGGUUUAUAAAAGGCAAGAUAAUGAAAGAAACGUUAAGGAAACUAGAUAUGGAUCGGUUCACACUUUCUGGCUUUCAGUUCUUGAAUUAGGCAAGCUUUUAUUGAAGAGAGAGAUAGAGAGAGAUGAAGAGUGAGGAUUUUUAAAGCGAUUUCCUUUUGGGGUUUCAAUGGACAUACAAGGUGGGGGACUCUGGGGGUGAUUUGAUUUUUUGAGCUUUGAAGCUUCUAGCUUGACGGGAAGUUAAUGAAAGCUGAAAAUAAGAGAGUGACAAGCUGCAGCUGCCGUCUGGGAGUGAAAACCUAGAAGGUGUUUUGUGGGAUUUUGUCGGUUCCUUAAAAUUUCGGGUUUUUCGACACUGUCAGGUGGAAUGUUCUGUUUUUUCUUUCCUUCUCAUCUC